rnacentral:rRNA from 1 species
AGGGUGAUAGCCCCGUACACUAAAAUGCACAGGUCGUGAGUUCGAUGAGUAGGGCGGGACACGUGACAUCCUGUCUGAAUAUGGGGGGACCAUCCUCCAAGGCUAAAUACUCCUGACUGACCGAUAGUGAACCAGUACCGUGAGGGAAAGGCGAAAAGAACCCCGGCGAGGGGAGUGAAAUAGAACCUGAAACCGUGUACGUACAAGCAGUGGGAGCACCUUCGUGGUGUGACUGCGUACCUUUUGUAUAAUGGGUCAGCGACUUAUAUUUUGUAGCAAGGUUAACCGUAUAGGGGAGCCGUAGGGAAACCGAGUCUUAACUGGGCGAAUAGUUGCAAGGUAUAGACCCGAAACCCGGUGAUCUAGCCAUGGGCAGGUUGAAGGUUGGGUAACACUAACUGGAGGACCGAACCGACUAAUGUUGAAAAAUUAGCGGAUGACUUGUGGCUGGGGGUGAAAGGCCAAUCAAACCGGGAGAUAGCUGGUUCUCCCCGAAAGCUAUUUAGGUAGCGCCUCGUGAACUCAUCUUCGGGGGUAGAGCACUGUUUCGGCUAGGGGGCCAUCCCGGCUUACCAAACCGAUGCAAACUCCGAAUACCGAAGA